UUUUGAUACUCUGUUCUAAUUUACUAAGAAGAGUCACCAAUUUUGUUUCUGUGGUUUGUGACCUGAGAAGCUACAUAUUGACAUGGCGCUACCACGGGUGGAGGAGCGUGCAUUGCUGAAUCACAGGAUGAAGGCGAAUCCCUGCCAGCCUCCAUCCAUCUCUCGGGUGCUUAGCAGAAUCCUCAGCUCACAGGAUGAAUAAAUGCAGACUAAAUGAUGCACAAAUAAUCUUCACACACAACCAUCAACGCACGGAAAGACAGCAGGAUGGCCAGAUCCCAAGCUAACAAACAGGUAAAAUUUGCAUAAUUAGGUCUUCAGGUGUCUUUAGUUAUGAAAUGUGUCUGAUUCACUUGGUGAUUCUGGGCGUC
rnacentral:lncRNA from 1 species